rnacentral:rRNA from 1 species
UACGGGGGGGGCAAGCGUUGGUCGGAAUUACUGGGCGUAAAGGGCGCGUAGGCGGCCCUCUAAGUCGAACGUGAAAUCCCCGGCCUCAACCCGGGAACUGCGUCCGAUACUGGAGGGCUCGAAUCCGGGAGAGGGAUGUGGAAUUCCAGGUGUAGCGGUGAAAUGCGUAGAUAUCUGGAGGAACACCGGUGGCGAAGGCGGCAUCCUGGGCCGGUAUUGACGCUGAGGCGCGAAAGCCAGGGGAGCAAACGGG